GAUGCCGCAUCUGCGGGGAGAGGCGAACGCCAGAGGGGGAGCAACUUGAAGAGAGGGUCAGGGGCCAAGCUCUGUAGGAGACGUUACGCUGCGUGUGGGUGAUGACAAACUCCUCUCAGUUCUCCACGGAGAGCAGCGGGAGCUGAAGUGGCUCUUUCGGGAGAGAUGAAGCCUCCACAGCCAGAGCAGUCUGGAUAGUUUUAGCACACGCCAGGAAGGCCUGCAUUGUGACUGCAGAGAGCAAGUCCUGCUGCCCAAAGAUUUGCACCUGUUACAAUCUUCCCAGCUCUCCAUGGGUGGGAGGCAGAGGUGUAGGAAUGGAUCUCCACAUUCAGAAGUGAGGCUGGACAAAGGAAGAGUCCAGGAGGCUGAACUGAAAUAAGCCCUGAUCACUGACAUGUGUGACUCACUGCCUCUUUCCAGAGGGCUGAGCGUUGGGACCAGCAGCAGCACUGAGAUGCAUCGCCUGUGCAUCCUGGCCAGGUCUUCAAAAUUGGGUGUGUCUUCCACACUGGCAGCACAUUUUAGGCGAGACUAGCCUCAUCUCCACACUGAACAGCGACACACAAGCGAUCACUGCACUUGUGCCUCUCUGUGGGCUGAGUGCCCCUUGGCUGAUCUUCUCGUGGACGCAAAAUGCUUGAAGGUGGGGUUGCAGGAGCAAUCCCUGGGCAGCGAGGCUGUGACUGUGUUGCACAGACACCAGAAGAAAUGCAGAGGGAGGCAAACCAGCAACACCAAGACCUCUGUGCAGACGGGAGCAACUCGAGGCCACCUUCUCUUUGAGGGUUAUUUUCUUAAUGGUGCAGGGCCUGGGCUCCAAAGCCUGCUUCUGCCUCGCCACCCUGCGGCUCGAAGUUGUGCUUGUGGUCAUCGCCGAGCGUGGCGGAGGCCGCAGGCCUGCAAGCCUUGCAGGCGCCGCUCUCCUGGCCCCCUUGCUGGAACAUCUGCUGAGCUUGGUGCUCUGCCUGGCGAUGAGCUCAUCAAUUCUCCAGAUUCCAGA